rnacentral:rRNA from 1 species
UACGAAGGGGGCUAGCGUUGCUCGGAAUUACUGGGCGUAAAGGGCGCGUAGGCGGAUAUUUAAGUCAGGGGUGAAAGCCCGGGGCUCAACCUCGGAAUUGCCUUUGAUACUGGAUAUCUUGAGUUCGGGAGAGGUGAGUGGAAUGCCGAGUGUAGAGGUGAAAUUCGUAGAUAUUCGGCGGACACCAGUGGCGAAGGCGACUCACUGGCCCGAUCUACGCUGAGGCGCGAAAGCGUGGGGGAGCAAACAGGGAUUAAGAAAACCC